CCCCCUUUCAUCCAGCACACACACACACACAAAACAUCCAGCACACACACAUCAUCCAGCACACACACACAACCAUCAUCCAGCACACACACACGCACACAUACACAUCAUUCAGCACACACACACACACACACACACACACAUCUUCCAGCACACACGCAUCUUCCAGCACACACACACACUGCAUUCAUUACACACAAUCUGCACUUACUACAAACACACUAAAUUCAUUAUACACACUCUGCACUCAUUACAAACACACUACAUUCAAUAUACACACUCUGCAUGCACUACACACACUGCAUUUCUUAUACACACUCUGCAUUCACUACAUUCACUAUACACACUCUGCAUUCAUUAUGCACACUCUGCACUCCCUACAAACACACUACAUUCACUACACACACUGCAUUCAUUGUACACACUCUGCAUUCAUUAUACACACUCUGCACUCACUACAAACACUACAUUUACUAUACACACUCUGCACUCGCUUCAUUCACUAUACACACUGCACUCACUACAAACACACUACAUUCACUACACACACUGCAUUCAUUAUACACACUUUGCACUCUCUACAAACACACUACAUUCACUAUACACACUCUGCACUCACUAAAACACACUACAUUUAUUAUACACGCAGCACUCACUACAAACACACUACAUUCAUUAUACACACUCUGCACUCACUACACAUUACAUUUAGUAUACACACUGCACUCACUACAAACACACUACAUUCAUUAUACACACUCUGCACUCACUACAAACACACUACAGUCAUUAUACACACUCUGCAUUCACUACAAACACACUACAUUCAUUAUACACACUGCAUUCACUACAAACACACUUCAUUCAUUAUACACACACUGCACUCACAAUAAACACACUACAUUCAUUAUACACACUCUGCAUUCACUACAAAGACACUACAUUUAUUAUACACACUGCACUCACUACAAACACAGUACAUUUAUUAUACAC